rnacentral:rRNA from 1 species
AUUGAACGCUGGCGGCAGGCCUAACACAUGCAAGUCGAACGGUAACAGGAAGCAGCUUGCUGCUUUGCUGACGAGUGGCGGACGGGUGAGUAAUGUCUGGGAAACUGCCCGAUGGAGGGGGAUAACUACUGGAAACGGUAGCUAAUACCGCAUAACGUCGCAAGACCAGAGAGGGGGACCUUAGGGCCUCUUGCCAUCGGAUGUGCCCAGAUGGGAUUAGCUAGUAGGUGGGGUAACGGCUCACCUAGGCGACGAUCCCUAGCUGGUCUGAGAGGAUGACCAGCCACACUGGAACUGAGACACGGUCCAGACUCCUACGGGAGGCAGCAGUGGGGAAUAUUGCACAAUGGGCGCAAGCCUGAUGCAGCCAUGCCGCGUGUAUGAAGAAGGCCUUCGGGUUGUAAAGUACUUUCAGCGGGGAGGAAGGGAGUAAAGUUAAUACCUUUGCUCAUUGACGUUACCCGCAGAAGAAGCACCGGCUAACUCCGUG